rnacentral:rRNA from 1 species
CGAACGGGUGAGUAAUGCGUGACCAACCUCGCCCCAUGCUCCAGAAUAGCUCUUGGAAACGGGUGGUAAUGCUGGAUGCUCCAACUUGACGCAUGUCUUGUUGGGAAAGUGUUUAGUGGCAUGGGAUGGGGUCGCGUCCUAUCAGCUUGUAGGCGGGGUAAUGGCCCACCUAGGCUUCGACGGGUAGCCGGCCUGAGAGGCGGACGGCCACAUUGGGACUGAGAUACGGCCCAGACUCCUACGGGAGGCAGCAGCC